CUUGUAUGGAAAACUUUCACAUUUGACAAUGUAUCUUCACAAAAAUUGGCACAGAUUAUUUUCUAAGAUAAUAAUGUAAUCUCCGAAGAAAUUG